CAUGGGAGGGGGGAAUGUUUCGAGUAGACCACUUUCCUCUGGUUUAGUGGGAUUUGCUUUACCCACACCGGCCUCGUUGACUCGGAUCGGAUUGGUGGAAGAUAGAUUGCCGUUAGCCGUGUCAAGCUGGGAAAAGUGGGAAACAGCUUAUGCAUUUGUAAUAACUACCGCCAGAAUUUCGUAGUUUGGAGGUUAUAACGUUCAGAUCGAAGUUUGAUCUUGACGCAGGAUUUUGACAGUGUGAAAAGUUGUGUGUACAAACAACUCUCGCUAGUAGUGAACCGCUUCUCGUUAAUAAGUAACCCGAGAUGACCGGCUCGAUUCAAGCAGAGUUGAUACCAUCGAGUGCAUCCUCGUCCCAAAAAAUAGUUACAGAAAUUUGCUGCAAUCCAUUUAGAAUACCCAGGCACAAUGUUACAAAGAAUAUUCGUUUCGUUAGUUCCAGCAUACGCGAUUUACUGCACCAUGUAAGCUUUUCGGGCAGCAAAAAAGUGUGCACAGAGUGCAGGAAUAGGGUGCAUCAAUUGUUGAAGCAACGCAAAUAUCUUACAUCUUUUACAAGGUCAUCUGCAUACAGAGAUAUGCCUAUGAAAGUAAAGCGAGGAAAAUCAGGUCAGCUCAGAAAUGAUCAUGGGGAGAAAAAUAAAAAGAACCAUCAGUCAUCCAAUCGUUCGCAAAGAUACAGUAGAAGAGUGACAAACGCAUCAAAUCGUCAGACAAGGAGCAACAGCGGAGGCCAAGAUGUAUCAACCCAGCCGAAUGAAUCUAACCUUAGUAGCCAAGACAGUACUGAGAGAUUGGAGCAGGAGCAGACAAUGUCACGACGAUCUCGUCGAUCAGCAGUGCAUUUUUCUACGUCGAGGAGACGUCCGAGACGAAGCACUGCUACACAAGAAGAUAGUUCAUAUCAAAAUGAAAAUACAAUUCCAAAGACAGUGAUAUCAAGUACCGAUGAAAGAGAACUCAUUUGCUGCUUCUGCGGAGGAUCUCAGAGAGAUGAGACUUUGUACGGUCCAUUUCAUGAACAUGAAGGAAUUAUUACGCAUUAUUUUUGUUUGUUACUAUCCUCCAAUGUCACUCAAAAUGGAGAGGAUAAAGAAGGAAUUUUAGGUUUUUUAGCUGCAGACAUUAAUAAAGAAAUACGCAGAGGCAAAAGACUUUUUUGUUCAUAUUGUAGAAAAAAUGGUGCCACUUUGGGUUGCUGUGAGACUAAAUGUAAAAAAAUGUUUCACUUGCCUUGUGGUUUAAAAAAUAAUUCGCUGCACCUAUUUUAUGGAGAGUUCAAAUCAUUUUGUGAGUCUCAUAGACCAAAGCAAAAAAUAGAUGCUGAAAUUCUUGCUAAAAUAGCUAAUGUUGCAAUGGUUACAUGUACAAUUUGUUAUGAAGAUGUUGAUCCUAAAGAUACUAUAGGUACAUUGUGGUCAUCAUGCUGUAGAAAAGGUGCUUGGUUCCAUCGAACAUGUCUUCAGAAACUUGCUAUAAGUGCCGGAUAUUUUUUUAAGUGCCCAUUAUGUAAUAAUAGGCAACCAUUUCGAGACAUUAUGAAAGAAAAUGGCAUUUACGUUCCGGAACAAGAUGCAUCAUGGGAGUUGGUUCCUAAUGCAUAUCAAGAAUUGUACUAUAGACAUGAUAAUUGUAACGCAAAAACAUGUCUUUGUCCUAAAGGUAGAAAAUAUAAAGAAGAACAAGGCAAGUGGCUAUUGAGUCUAUGUGACAUGUGUGGUCACCAAGGAACCCAUUUACGUUGUAGUGAUUUGAAAUCUGGUGAUGUGGAAUGGUUUUGUAGUGAAUGUAUUUCUAUUACUGAAAAAAAAGAAUCUAGUUCAGUAGAAAACGAUACUGCGAAUGAUCAGUCUUUAGUUUCAAGUGAAAAUUUUACACAAGAGGAAACGGAAAUUCUCAAAAUUACGGUCAACGAUGAUGACAGUGAUUCCAAUGUAUCUGUAGGCAACAAUAAAAUUCAAAAUGAUUCCUUAUCCAGUAUUCUCUCCAAAGUUUCGUUACGACCGGGACCUCUAAAAUACAAAUUAAAGCAGGUUGCUCAACUAAAAAGCGCGGGUAAUAUUGAAGGUUCGAGAUCUAAAAAUAAUAGUAUUAUCGAUCUUGAUAGCGACAACGACGAACUCGAAAUUGUUUGUGAAAGUACAAUGAAGAAACGGCGCGAAAAUUUGGCAGUGAUAGAUCAUGUUUAUGCAAAUCCACACAUAUCUUCAGACGAACCAAUGGCAGUGACAGUUUCUGAAGAAACUGACCAGUCUCCUUUUAAUAUUGUCAUAACUAAUGUUACGUCAGUACCCCCGGAAUUUUUCAAUGAUGAAUUAGAUUCCGAAGAAGUUUCGUUACCUUUCCCACUGCCUAUUUCUGCACCAUUAAAACGUUCACGUGAAAUCACAGACGAUUUGAAGGAAGAAAAGCGAAGUAAACGGGCCAAAUUGGAAUUAAGCCCGAACGCUGAUAUUAAUGCAGUUCCUGAACUGUUAUCGCCUGCAAAAAGCUUAUGCUUAUGGCGUUCUAACAGUUUGCCUCAAGAACUGAAGAACUCACCAACAACACCUUCAAUGAGUCAACAUCAAAUUCCAUCUCAGAUUCAGUUGAGGACUCAACCAAAUCAGGCAAUUCAUCAGCAACCAAAGAAAACACCAGCUGUAACAAACAAUCUCAACUCAACAACACUUCCAAUGUUGGAGCUCGGAUUACCGAUUGCAGUAGCGACGGCGGAACUAGCAAAGCUUCAAGACAGGAUCAACAUAAUAGAGCUGGAUUGAUUACAGAUCAAGCAAAUCUGAAAGAUAUAAAAUUCAAAGUUAUAAAUCAAGAUUUGCACAUUAACAUUCUUUCAACAAAGAUUAUAAUUCAGCUAGACAAGACACAAGAUUUGUCGCGUAAAAAUAUUGAAAAGUAUAUAGUAUCGC
rnacentral:misc_RNA from 1 species